ACGUUACCUACAGAAGAAGCACCGGCUAACUCCGUGCCAGCAGCCGCGGUAAUACGGAGGGGUGCGAGCGUUAAUCGGAAUUACUGGGCGUAAAGCGCAUGCAGGCGGCCUGUUAAGUCAGAUGUGAAAGCCCGGGGCUUAACCUCGGAAUUGCAUUUGAAACUGGCAGGCUAGAGUCUUGUAGAGGGGGGUAGGAAUUUCAGGUGUAGCGGUGAAAAUGCGUAGAGAUCUGAAGGAAUACCAGUGGCGAAGGCGGCCCCCUGGACAAAGACUGACGCUCAGAUGCGAAAGCGUGGGGAGCAAACAGGAUUAGAUACCCUGGUAG
rnacentral:rRNA from 1 species